AAAACAUUCAAACUAACUAUUGGGAAACAAAGACAGAUACGAUCUCAAACCUAUAUAUACAAAUCUCGGUAUCAUCUUUCUAUUGUUGAUAUUGGUUUUUAAAAGAAGGUUGAGAGUAAAAUCAUUUAGGAGCGAGACCUUCUUUGUAACAAGAGUCUUCAAUCUCUAAUCAGUUCAUAUAAGGCAAUAUGGCCAGCGUAUGUUAUAUUUCUUUUAUUUUAUUGAUUGCGUUUAGAUGAGUAUAUUAAUGCUUUCUGUUUUUGAAUUAUCUUUUAUUAUGUAUGUUUAAUAUCUUUUUGCUUCAUAGAUCAACCACUAAAAAUAAACAAGCAAACUUGAUCGAUAGAGGAUAAAACACAAACAAAGUAGAAGACUUGAGCAAGAAAAACACCAAUGGCAAAGUAGUAGGAGGUUGAAGACGAAGUAGAAGUGUACAACAUUAAGACAUAAAUGAUAUCAUCUAUGUAUUGAGUCAACUUCACUCUGGUAACUUUUUUUUGUCUAUGACUAUAAUCUAUGUUUGUAUUGAGUCUUUGAAUACCAUAUGUAAUU
rnacentral:sRNA from 1 species